CACGUAGGGCGCGAGCGUUGUCCGGAAUUAUUGGGCGUAAAGAGCUCGUAGGCGGCCUGUUGCGUCCGCUGUGAAAGCCCGGGGCUUAACCCCGGGUCGGCAGUGGAUACGGGCAGGCUAGAGGUAGGUAGGGGAGAAUGGAAUUCCCGGUGUAGCGGUGAAAUGCGCAGAUAUCGGGAGGAACACCGGUGGCGAAGGCGGCGACCUGGUCCGACACUGACGCUGAGGCGCGAAAGCGUGGGGAGCAAACAGG
rnacentral:rRNA from 1 species